rnacentral:tRNA from 1 species
GACCCGGUAGCUCAGCUGGAUAGAGCACCUGCCUUCUAAGCAGGGGGUCGUGAGUUCGAAUCUCGCCCGGGUCA